rnacentral:tRNA from 1 species
CGGCCUGUAGCUCAGUGGUAGAGCAGCACUCUUAUAAGGUGUUGGUCGCUGGUUCGAAUCCAGCCAGGCCGACCA